CGGAUCGAAGUCUGCAACCCGACUUCGUGAAGCUGGAUUCGCUAGUAAUCGCGCAUCAGCCAUGGCGCGGUGAAUACGUUCCCGGGCCUUGUACACACCGCCCGUCAAGCCAUGAAAGCCGGGGGUACCUGAAGUACGUAACCGCAAGGAGCGUCCUAGGGUAAAACUGGUAAUUGGGGCUAAGUCGUAACAAGGUAGC
rnacentral:rRNA from 1 species